CGCUUUUUUUGAACUCCACUACUACUACUUUGUAGGUGUAGGCAGUGGAGUUUUUUCCAAACUCCGAUAAAAAUAUCGUCGCUUUGACGAAAUCUAAAAUAAAAAUAUAAAAAACUUUCAACAAUGGAUCUCUUGGCUCUCGCAUCGAUGAAGAACGCAGCGAAUUGCGAUAAGUAGUGUGAAUUGCAGAAUUCUGUGAAUCAUCGAAUCUUUGAACGCAUAUUGCGCUCUCUGGUAUUCCGGAGAGCAUGCCUGUUUGAGGGUAAUUAAAUAAAUCUUUGACUAUUUUUUUAGUCAAGGGAUGUUGGGUUCUCCGCACUUUGUAGCGGUAGCCUGAAAUAUAUGGUUAGUCUCAUUUUGUUGAGAUGCGUAAUAAUAUUUAUUUCGCGAAAAAUCAUCAAUGAGAUUCUACCAAGUUUUGACGCAUACAGUCUAAUCUGUCUAAGUUGCCACGCUAACCCAAUGCGUUAAUACAAAUAUUUUUGAACAUUACCUCAAAUCAGGUAGGAAUACCCGCUGAACUUAAGCAUAUC
rnacentral:rRNA from 1 species